rnacentral:rRNA from 1 species
UGACCUCAAAUCAGGUAGGACUACCCGCUGAACUUAAGCAUAUCAAUAAGCGGAGGAAAAGAAACUAACAAGGAUUCCCCUAGUAACUGCGAGUGAAGCGGGAAAAGCUCAAAUUUAAAAUCUGGCAGUCUUUGGCUGUCCGAGUUGUAAUCUAGAGAAGUGCUAUCCGCGCUGGACCGUGUACAAGUCUCCUGGAAUGGAGCGUCAUAGAGGGUGAGAAUCCCGUCUUUGACACGGACUACCAGGGCUUUGUGAUGUGCUCUCAAAGAGUCGAGUUGUUUGGGAAUGCAGCUCAAAAUGGGUGGUAAAUUCCAUCUAAAGCUAAAUAUUGGCGAGAGACCGAUAGCGAACAAGUACCGUGAGGGAAAGAUGAAAAGAACUUUGGAAAGAGAGUUAAACAGUACGUGAAAUUGCUGAAAGGGAAACGCUUGAAGUCAGUCGCGUUGUCCAGGGAUCAACCUUGCUUUUGCUUGGUGCACUUUCUGGUUGACGGGUCAGCAUCAAUUUUGACUGUUGGAAAAAGAUCAAGGGAAUGUGGCAUCUCUGGAUGUGUUAUAGCCCUUGGUUGCAUACAAUGGUUGGGAUUGAGGAACUCAGCACGCCGCAAGGCCGGGUUUUUAACCACGUACGUGCUUAGGA